rnacentral:rRNA from 1 species
GUGCUGGAGACAGAGUCUGAGGAGAGCUGGACUUGGUUUUUGCAUAAUCUCCGUCGGGCUAUUGCACAUCCCAAUGGGUUGGUCAUUCAUACAGAUGCCUGCGAAGGUUUAGAAGUGGUCGUGGACAAUGUGUUCCCUGGAGUAGAGCAUAGGAAAUGCAUGCGUCACCUUGCUGCAAAUUUCAUGAAGAAAUUCAAAGGAAAGGUGUAUACCGACAAUUUAUGGCUAGCAUCUUUGACAUGCAGUGUGAAGAAGCACAACUACCACUUGAGGCAGUUAUACAUGAAUCCCAAAGUGAAAGAAUACUUGGAAACACACCACUCCAAGUUAUGGGCCAGAAGCCAAUUCAGUGAAGUGAGCAAAGUUGACUAUGUGCACAAUAAUCUAGCAGAGUCUUUCAACUCAACAAUACGGAAA